GUCCAGCUGACGAGUCCCAGAUUGGACGAAACGCGCGUCAAACUAGAU
rnacentral:hammerhead_ribozyme from 1 species